CAUAACAAAUAACUACUCGGAAGACGUGUGCACGGAGGGAACCAUUAAUCAAUUGGCAUACAUUGUACAAGAAGAAGAAGCAGGUGCAGUAGGUCGGUCCCCCACGCAAAUUGUCUCAAAACCUCCCAAUUUGCAUUGUCUCUU
ensembl:ncRNA C18A3.22 ncRNA